rnacentral:rRNA from 1 species
UACAGGGGGUGCAAACGUUGCUCGGAAUCAUUGGGCGUAAAGCGCACGUAGGCGGUUCGUUAUGUCGGAUGUGAAAGCCCUUGGCUUAACCGAGGAAGUGCAUCCGAAACUGGCGAGCUAGAGUACGAAAGAGGAUCGCGGAAUUCCCGGUGUAGAGGUGAAAUUCGUAGAUAUCGGGAGGAACACCGGUGGCGAAGGCGGAUCUCUGGGCCGAUACUGACGCUGAGGAGCGAAAAGCGUGGGGAGCGAACAGG